CCUACGGGGGGCUGCAGUGGGGAAUAUUGGACAAUGGGGGGAACCCUGAUCCAGCCAUGCCGCGUGUGUGAAGAAGGCCCUCGGGUUGUAAAGCACUUUCAGUGAGGAAGAACGCCUGGUGGUUAAUACCCAUCAGGAAAGACAUCACUCACAGAAGAAGCACCGGCUAACUCCGUGCCAGCAGCCGCGGUAAUACGGAGUGUGCGAGCGUUAAUCGGAAUUACUGGGCGUAAAGCGCGCGUAGGUGGCUUGAUAAGCCGGUUGUGAAAGCCCCGGGCUCAACCUGGGAACGGCAUCCGGAACUGUCAAGCUAGAGUGCAGGAGAGGAAGGUAGAAUUCCCGGUGUAGCGGUGAAAUGCGUAGAGAUCGGGAGGAAUACCAGUGGCGAAGGCGGCCUUCUGGACUGACACUGACACUGAGGUGCGAAAGCGUGGGUAGCAAACAGGAUUAGAUACCCUAGUAGUC
rnacentral:rRNA from 1 species